GGUGGGGCCAAGGCAGGAGAGCUGGGAUACAGCUCAAUGGUGGAGCACAUGCCUAGCAUGCAUAAGGCCUUGGGUUCCACCUCCAGAGCAGUCACCUCCACCACCACCUGCCAAACUUACUUUGUAGGCAGCAGAAUUCUCAGAGUUGCCAAAGACAUACUAUUGAGCAUCAGGGGGUGUGGAGCGAUGGGGAACAGGCAAGCAUGGAUAACUGCGGGGCCCCGGACCAGGUGUGGCCAGCUUCUAUCAUUACACACUGACAUAUAGGACACAGUGGUGGACGAUCACGUGUCAUACAUGAUAGUGAAAGAUGAUCGUGUGUCUCAGUUCCGGUGACUUUCCCUGGGAGGAAGACGGCCUCUCGGCUCCCCACAGCUGAGUAGAACAAAUGAGAUUGGACAAGGAGCCCAUCAGCCUUGCCCAUCUGGUGCCAUAACCCUUUAUUCCGACUUGCAGCCAUAUUUGUCUUAUUUGUAAAUUUACAUCUUAGGACCAGGUACAUAUGUGCUAAAAUUCCAAGCACCUUUAGACUCCUUUCGAACAGUCAGAAGUUUUCUUUUUUCUUCCUGUUCUUUUUUUUUCCUUUUCUUUCUAUUCUAUCAUGUCAGUAUCCAUCACGUUAGCUAUUCUUUCUCACAUCUGCAAUAGCCUCAGGUUCGCAUUCCCGUUUCUAACUGUCAUAGCGACUCAUUUUAUUAAACAAUAACCAUCCAUCCAGGCAGUGAGCCAUCCUCCCAGCAAAAAUUUAGCACUAACUGUACACUAGCUAUUCUGUGGUGUUCUGAAAGGAAAAUGAAGACGAGCCAGUAUCACAGAACCCAGGAAGAGAGUGAUGUCCUACGCAGAAACAAUAGUAAGCUCGGGUAGACUACAGCAAUGGCUGGACACUCUCUGGAGCUGAGUGACAGGAAAAGUCCCAGGAAGAAAUACUCACCUGUGGUUGGAGGAGUCAGGAUGUUUAUGAAAGUAGCCUUUGUAACGAUGCUAAAUGAUAUUCCACGUUUCAAUUAACUUCAGGUUACUAUGAUAAAAUACCUGAGGCAGUUUAUCUAAUUAACAGUUACGGAGGUUCAAGUCUGUGACUGGGCAGUGCUAUUGCUUUGGGCCUCUGGCAGGGCAUGUGGCUGAAGGAUGCGGUGGAACAAAUACCAACAUUCGAGCUGCAAUAUGAGGGCAGGGGAGCCCAUUGGCAUAGCUUCAAUGAUACAGGACCACUUACUAUGACAAGGCUAUUGGAUGCAACUCCAUCACUCUGCAUCUUUUCCGUUGAGACAGCCAUCUCCCCCAGAAUCUGGAGCUCGUGUUUUUACAGCUAGGCUGGAAGCCAGCAAGUCCCAGUGAUCCCUCCUGUUCCCCACAUACUACUUGGAGUUGAGGUUUCAGAUGUGCAAGGCAUGCCCAGUUUGCUAUAUAGAUGUUGGCCUCCUGUGAUGGUUUGUAUAUGCUUGGUCUAGGGAGGUGUGGCCUCGUUGGAGUAGGUGUGUCACUGUGGGCAUGUCUUUUACUACCCUUGUCCUAGCUGCCUGGAAGCCAGUCUUCUGCUAGGAGCCUUCAGAAUCCUCAUGCUUUGCCUGUGCCCCUCUAACAAUGGGAGACAGCCUCAAUUAUGCUUCCCUGACCACUUCUGCUGAAUCUUUCUUGACCCCAGAGAGACAAAGUUCUGUGCUCAUGUGACUGGACCCAAGAGGCUCAAGGCCAGUCACCUUAAUAACGUUUGCAAAGCCACUUUGGUGACACUGUGUAAAUCUACUUGCCCAGAUCCAGAGGACUAGGGCCCACAUGUCUCCGAGAAGCCUUUGACCUGCCUGCUAUGAAUGGGUGGAGUACACCUGCUGAGGCAUGAGGAAUGGCUCUUUGGGAAAGGAGCAGGGGACAAGAAAUAAAUCCCUGGAGCACAAAGAAAGCCACCACCUGUCCUCUAGAUACAAACCAGUCAAUGCCUCCAAACAAUGAGCCUGCAAGCUCUUGAACAGAGAAAGACCUUCUGAAGGGGACAUGGGCAACCACCGGCUAAAUGGAUACUGGGGUCAGUUCUGCCUGGGAAUUGCUGUCAUAACACUUCAUAACCCUUGUGUGUGCUCUUCCCUUACACUUUUACUGUCCGUAGAUAACUUUCAUUUCAUAGUGUUCAUGAAUCACACAAAGCCACAGCCUAUCAUAUGAAUAAGAUGAUGUCCGGCAAUGUCGAUUCUCAAUGAGGAAACCUGUUCACACUUGGAUGUUUUGCGAGAUGCCUUUAAAACCUGGCAGUAUGUCUCCCCAGCUUUCUGUGCCUAUUUAUAUGCUUCCUUGAUGUUAUUUUUAAUGGGUAUGUAAUUUUCCAUUUGUAUAGAUUGAACCAUAGUUUAUUGAAUGAACUCUCCCAGUGUUGACAUUUGACUUGCUCCCAAGUUGUUUUAACAUCAUCAACAGGACUGAGGUAAAC
rnacentral:lncRNA from 1 species